UGUGCUGCUGGCUUGGGAAAAUGAGGCCUUCCUCUCCUUAAGGGAAUUCGGGGAAGAUAAAUUUGAAAUUGUGGUUCCUUCCCUCAGCAUCCUGGCC
rnacentral:tRNA from 1 species